UUCACUUCUUUCUGGCCUCAAAUCAGG
rnacentral:rRNA from 1 species